GGGUCAGCAAGUUGGUCGUGCCACUGGUAUGUACUGGCUUUACUGAUUCCUCCUUCUUGCAGAACCGUAAUGCCAUUAAUUUGGUGUUGCGGGGAAACAGGACUGUUACUUUGAAAAAAUUAGAGUGUUUAAAGCAGGCUAACGCUUGAAUACAUUAGCAUGGAAUAAUGAAAUAGGACGUUCGAUCCUAUUUUGUUGGUUUCUAGGAUUGACGUAAUGAUUAAUAGGGAUAGUUGGGC
rnacentral:rRNA from 1 species